rnacentral:tRNA from 3 species
GGAGACGUGGCCGAGCGGUCGAAGGCACUCCCCUGCUAAGGGAGCAUUCUGUCAAAAACGGAAUCCAGGGUUCGAAUCCCUGCGUCUCCGCCA